rnacentral:rRNA from 1 species
CAAUAGCGUAUAUUAAAGUUGUUGCAGUUAAAAAGCUCGUAGUUGGAUUUCUGGUUGAAGCGACCGGUCGGGCGUUGAUUCGUCUGCACUGGAGUCGGUUUUGGCCAUCCUCUAGGAAAGUGCGUCUGGUAUUAAGUUAUCGGGCGUAUGAUCCUGGUCUUUUACUGUGAAAAAAUUAGAGUGUUUAAAGCAGGCCUUCGCAUUGAAUACAUUAGCAUGGAAUAAUAAGAUAGGACUUUGGUCUAUUUUGUUGGUUUGCAGACCGAAGUAAUGAUUAAUAGGGAUAGUUGGGGGUAUUUAUAUUCCGAUGUCAGAGGUGAAAUUCUUAGAUUUUCGGAAGAUAAACUUAUGCGAAAGCAUUUACCAAGGAUGUUUUCAUUAA